rnacentral:rRNA from 3 species
AGCUUUCUGGGGGGGUUACUGGCGAACGGGUGAGUAACACGUGAGUAACCUGCCCUUGACUCUGGGAUAAGCCUGGGAAACUGGGUCUAAUACCGGAUAUGACUCCUCAUCGCAUGGUGGGGGGUGGAAAGCUUUUGUGGUUUUGGAUGGACUCGCGGCCUAUCAGCUUGUUGGUGGGGUAAUGGCCUACCAAGGCGACGACGGGUAGCCGGCCUGAGAGGGUGACCGGCCACACUGGGACUGAGACACGGCCCAGACUCCUACGGGAGGCAGCAGUGGGGAAUAUUGCACAAUGGGCGCAAGCCUGAUGCAGCGACGCCGCGUGAGGGAUGACGGCCUUCGGGUUGUAAACCUCUUUCAGUAGGGAAGAAGCCUUUCGGGGUGACGGUACUUGCAGAAGAAGCGCCGGCUAACUACGUGCCAGCAGCCGCGGUAAUACGUAGGGCGCAAGCGUUAUCCGGAAUUAUUGGGCGUAAAGAGCUCGUAGGCGGUUUGUCGCGUCUGCUGUGAAAGACCGGGGCUCAAC